rnacentral:lncRNA from 1 species
GAAAUAUAGAAAUAUUUUACAAAGUCAAAUUUUAUUUACACAGGCAUACAAUACAAACUGGGAAACCUACUAUUAAGUUGUUCUACCAUGACACAUUUCAGAAUAAGGAAGAUGAUUUCUGAGAAACAAGGGAUUGCAAAGACUCCUGUUUCAUUAUACAGUGUAAAGCUGUGGACAUUCAGCACUUUAAUUUUAAUUUCCACUCUGAUGCAUCCCACCAAUAUACCACUGCCUCUUUGUGACUGGAGUUUGGAAUGGCCAAGCAGGUUACACAGCAGGAAUGUCCUACCAGCUACCAAAUAAACAUCAUUGGCAAAACAUUUAUCCUGAUUACAAAACCAUAAACCCAGAUAUGAAAACUUUUAAAGGAAAAGGAUGGAGAAUGGCAUCAAAUACCUGUCACCUUAGGAGAUGAGCUAUUAUAAUGAAGAGUCCAGACAAGUCUCACUGAAUGUUCUUCUUCUGCACUGAUGCCAGUAACAUUCGAACGCACACAUGAUUAGACAGUACAGAUUAAUUCCCAGGAAAAAUUUCUUUCCUUCAAGAAAAUUGUUUUCCAGUGCCAACAGCUCAGUCCCCUGAUAAUGGGGUCAUAAUAACUGAGUAUUGGUAUACAUGCCCUCUGCAAUAAGUUUUGCACCACUAGGCUUUGCAGGCCAAGUGGUGUCCUGGCCUACUGGCAGCCAGGACAGAGCUGUUCACUGGAGGCCAAAUUCUCAUUUUGUAGUAGUAAUAUUUUACUGCCUUUCAGUAUAUUAUGUUAUAGAAUCACAGAAUAGUUUGGAUUGGAAGGGACCUUGAUGGUCAUCUAUUUCCAAUCCCCCUGCCAUGGGCAUGGAUACCUUCUACUAGGCCAGGUUGCUCAAAGCCCCAUCCAACCUGGCCUUGAACACCUCCAGGGAUGGGGUAUCCACAACUUCUAUGGGCAACCUGUUCUGUUUGAUCAACACCCUCUAAUUAAAGAAUUUCUUCCUCAUAUCUAAUAUAAAUCUACCCUCUUUUAAUAUAACACCAUUACCUCUUAUCCUACCACCAAUGUCCCUGACAGAGGGCUCUCCAGCUUUUCUGUAGGCCCCCUGUAGGUACUGGAAGGCUGCAGUGAGGUCUCCUCAGAGUCUUCUAUUCUCCAGGCUGAACAACCCCAACUCCCUCAGCCUGGCAUCAUAAGAGAGGUGCUCCAGCAAUUUGAUCAACUACAUAGCCCUCCUCUGGACUUGCUUUAACAGGUCCAUGUCCUUCUUGUCCUUCCAGGACAUUGAACUUCAUGAGGUUUGCAUAGAUAAACCUCUCAAACCCAUCAAGAUCUCUCUGAAUGGCAUUCCUUCCCUCCAGCAUGUCAACCACAGCACU